UACGUAGGCAGCAAGCGUUGUUCGGAAUUACUGGGCGUAAAGCGUGCGCAGGCGGUUUUGUAAGUCUGUCGUGAAAGCCCCGGGCUUAACCUGGGAAUUGCGAUGGAGACUGCAAGGCUUGAAUCUGGCAGAGGGGGGUAGAAUUCCACGUGUAGCAGUGAAAUGCGUAGAGAUGUGGAGGAACACCGAUGGCGAAGGCAGCCCCCUGGGUCAAGAUUGACGCUCAUGCACGAAAGCGUGGGGAGCAAACAGG
rnacentral:rRNA from 1 species